rnacentral:lncRNA from 1 species
GAGCAGCUAGAACAAAUGCAUCUGAAUACAUUGAUCAACAUCGUAUCAUCAUCAUCCACGACAGAUGAUGAAAAGGCUGCUGCUGUUGGCAUACUAAGCAACUUUCCAGUGAGUGACAAGAAUGUCACAGACAUGUUUAUAAAAGCAAACCUACUGCCCAUUUUGGUUUCCAUAUUGACAUCAAGUACACCUACAACACCACAUUUACUAGCUGAGAACGUCUCUGCAGUACUAAUCCGAUUCACCCUUCCAUCAGACAAGAAACUACAACACUUCUCUGUCGAAAAUGGUGUGAUCAGCGUUUUGGUAAAGCUCCUCACAUGUGGCUCAAUCAUAGCCAAAUGUAGAGCUGCAACAUCACUUACUCAACUAUCUCAAAACUCACUCACUCUACGAAAAUCAAGAAAGUCAAGAUGGUUUUCAUGUGCCCCUCCACAUUCUACAGACACAUUUUGUCAAGUACAUGACGGGCACUGCUCUAUAAAAACCACAUUCUGUUUGGUAAAAGCAGGGGCAAUGCCUCCGCUAGUCCAAAUAUUGCAAGGCAACGAAAGAGCAGCGGACGAAGCUGCUCUAAGUUGCCUUGCAACAUUACAACAAGACGAGAUUUGGGAAAAUGGGAGCAACUUGUUAGUGAAAAUGUCAUGUGUACAACCAAUUAUCAAGAUUCUUGAAGAAGGGAUUAGCUUAAAAGCUCAAGAGAAGUCCCUGUGGAUUUUGGAAAAGAUAUUCAAAGUGGAGGCUUAUAGAGUAGAGUAUGGUGAAUAUGCACAAGUUGUGCUAAUUGAUUUAGCACAAAAUGGGGAUUCAUUGUUGAAACCUACAGUGGCUAAAUUAUUAGCACAACUUGAGCUCUUGCAGCAACAAUCAAGUUACUUUUGAGACAAAGCAAAAACAAAAAAACUUCUUUUUUUCCCCAAUUAUUUGUUGAUUGAUUGAAAUGUUGAAAUUUGUAUAGUAAGUGCUCAUACAGAUAAACUUUUUUAUGGUGCAAAUGUUCUCUCAUUGUACAAAUUACAGGAAAAAAAGGUUAUUAGAGAUGACUGAAACUUGUUGUCUUCAGAAAGUACAUUAUUUUAGCUUUGGCUGCCAUUUUGGUGCCAUUUUUUCUGCAAUUUUGCUGUAGUUUUGAUCCAAUGGCAUGAACAAGAACAACUUGCAAAUUUUAUACACCAAAUAAAUGAAGGAAACCUGUGCAAAAUAUCAACUUUACAAGUAUGACAGCUUCAUAAAUGGAGGAAACCUCGGCAAAAUAUCAAGAAUAAUUAUAGAUAUCAAAACCAGUGAUGCAACUUCACUGAUAUAAAUGUAGAGCAGAAGUUCCCUUAACCGGGAAAUAACAUCAUCCUAAUAGACACUGGUAUGUCACUCUGGGUGUAGUUCCCAAAUGUGCAAAUUCUAAUUUUAAAAGAAGUAAAUUUGUCUAGUCUGAUUUAGCUUCGGAAGUUGGUCAACUUAGAGCUCAAUUAAAGAAAAGUUCAAAAAAUUAUGGAUGGAGGGAGUGCUUUGGGAUUAAGUUAGUUGUUCCACUCAGGAAUUUUUUAUUUGGCCUGUGACUUGUAUGUUGGUGGGCGUUUAAGUGUGAAAUUAGUGGACCUUUAGUUGUAGAGAAUCCCAUAAUGAACAUAAAGGUUUCAUUUAUUCGGCUCCGACUAGAUAGGGAGUGAGGCAUAGGGGAUUGGUUAAUUUAAUGAGAUUGUAUCUGUUUUAAAGGCCAGAGGUAAAGCAAAGUAAAACAAAUCUGUGCUCCUCUCAUGCUGGUGUUGUCUUUCUUCCAUACAAUCAAAUCAAAUUUCUUCGACUUCAAGUUAUUGUCUCUUUCACUCUCCUUGUAGCUUGUCUCUUUUAAGAUUCAAGUCUGAUUGCUUUAAUUUGGUUUAAUAAUUUGAUUGUCCCACUAAGUUUACUCUGAAAUUAAUGCUUUCUUUGGCGUAUGUAGGUUGGAGCAAUCAUCUCAGGCGUUCAGCCAGGUUUAUCCAUGGUUUGGGACCCCCUGGUACGGGAAAGACUGAUAAUGCAAGUCAUUGGUUUUGGAUGGUAUGAUUACUAAAGAAGGGAUUCAUCAUGAAGAUAUGAUCCCGGUUCUGUUUAAUCGAUUGAGUUCAAGUAAAACAGACCAUAGAUUGAUUAUACUCCGAAUACUACAAGCACUGGCCGUAUAAGAUGAUGAACAUACGGUACAUUUAGUAUUUUAUUGAGUCUCAAAUAAUGAGAAUCAAGAAGCUGAAAGUUUUGAGUGGUUAAUUUUCACUUUGGUGUGCAGGAAAAGAUGGCACAAAUGGGGAAUUUAUUGAUACUGGUGAAGUCGUUGGGUCAUGAUUUGGAAGAGCAAAAAGAAGCAGUGGGGCUGUUACUGAGUCUAUCAGAUGUUGCUGCAGUUAGGAGAAGAGUCGGGAGAAUUCAAGGCUGCAUCGUCAUGUUGGUUGCAAUUUUUAAUGGGGAUGAUCAAAUGCCGUCACAUGACGCUGCCAACUUGUUAAAUUCUUUAUCAGGCAAUACCCAAUAUGCUCUUCAUAUGGCUGAGGCUGGCUAUUUCAAGCCUCUUGUACACUACUUGAACCAAGGUAUAUUUAGGACAUUUCCAUAAAUUAUAUGCAGUUCAAUAAGCUAUUUGAUUAAUUGUUUACGUAAAAUAUAUAUUCUAUGUAAAUGAUUGCAGGAUCAGACAUGAGUAAGAUUCUAAUGGCAACAGCACUUUCAAGAAUGGAACUCACAGAUCAAAAUAGAGCUAACCUGGGACAAGAUGGAGCCGUUGAACCGCUAGUCAAAAUGUUCACCUCCGGGAACCUAGAAGCUAAGCAAUCGUCUCUAAACGCGUUGCACAACUUGUCUGCCUCAAAAGCAAACGUUCAACGUCUGAUAAAAUCGGGCAUCGUUGCUACUCUGCUACAGCUUCUUUUCUCCGUUACAUCGGUGCUCAUGACUCUAAGAGAGCCACUAUCCGCAAUUCUUGCAAAAAUAGCAGCUCAAUUGGAAGUUGGCACAGUACUAGUGAAACAAGAUGUUGCUCAGCAGAUGAUUUCGCUCCUUCAUCUGACUAGUCCAGUAAUCCAGUGUCACUUGUUAGAAGCACUUAAUGCCAUCGCUGCUUGUCCGAAUGCUUCAAAGGUCAGAAGAAAAAUGAAGGAAACUGGCGCUGUUCGCCUUCUCUUACCAUUCCUAACAGAAAGCCGCAAUACCAAGAUUAGAAAUGGAGCUUUAAAUUUGAUUUACGUAUUGUCUAAUGAUAUGCAAGGCGGGGAGCUAAUGGAGCAGCUAGAACAAAUGCAUCUGAAUACAUUGAUCAACAUCGUAUCAUCAUCAUCCACGACGGAUGAUGAAAAGGCUGCUGCUGUUGGCAUACUAAGCAACUUUCCGGUGAGUGACAAGAAUGUCACAGACAUGUUAAUGAAAGCAAACCUACUGCCCAUUUUGGUUUCCAUAUUGACAUCAAGUACACCUACAACACCACAUUUACUAGCUGAGAACGUCUCCGCAGUACUAAUCCGAUUCACCCUUCCAUCAGACAAGAAACUACAACACUUCUCUGUCGAAAAUGGGGUGAUCAGCAUUUUGGUAAAGCUCCUCAC